AUUGAACGCUGGCGGCAGGCCUAACACAUGCAAGUCGAACGAGUGGCGGACGGGUGAGUAAUGUCUGGGAAACUGCCUGAUGGAGGGGGAUAACUACUGGAACCGGUAGCUAAUACCGCAUACCAUCGGAUGUGCCCAGAUGGGCUUAGCUAGUAGGUGGGGUAACGGGUCACCUAGGCGACGAUCCCUCGCUGGUCUGAGAGGAUGCCAAGCCACACUGGAGCUGAGACACGGUCAAGACUCCUACGUGAGGGAGCAGUCGGGAAUAUUGCACAAUGGGGGCAAGCCGGAUGCAGCCAAGCCGCGUGUAUGAAGAAGGCCUUCGGGUUGUAAAGUACUUUCAGCGGGGAGGCGUUACCCGCAGAAGAAGCACCGGCUAACUCCGUGCCAGCAGCCGCGGUAAUUC
rnacentral:rRNA from 1 species